AACUAAGGGACGGGGAAGACAUGUGUCUUCUCUGCGCCCCAGCGUCUCUCUGGAAGGUUCCGACUGGGGUGCUGAGCGAGCCACAGUGGAGGCCACGGUCAAGGCUGAGCCCUGGCCCUGGGAGACACCCCUUCUAGCUGGGAGACAGGCCAACCAACAGCACGCGUAAGUCUCUGCACACCAACUUCCUCUCUUCACUGUCCCCCCAAAGAUUAGACCAGGCACGGACAUCCUUUCGUACCGACCGUCAGCCUGACUCCGAGCAGAAGCCCCUUCUCGGGGGCCUGGGCCCCUGCCUGCUGUGCGGACUCUCAGCCCCCCCUCCUCGGCCUUCACAUCCCGGCUCCCCGCUGUGCACCCGUGUGAGAUCAUACGUCACAGGGCCAUAAACCACUCUGGAGUGUGUAAUAAGUGAAUUAUUUACCCAUGACCCUGGCUAAAUGUUCAGAGGGAUAAAUGAUUAAGCCGCAGA